rnacentral:sRNA from 1 species
UAAUUCCUUUGGGAUGCCGCGUAUGACC